CCGUAUUUGAUUUUCGAUGCUUUUAACACCACUGCUUUUCAUUCUGUUAAGGCUGUGAUCCUUGGCCAGAAUUCUACUCCUGUAUAAAUGGCUCUGGUCAACAUUUUUCCGACCAACUUUGCAUUUGAAGUUCAAAUGACAAAUCAAACAUCAGAAGACACAUCUGCUAUGGUUGGAUACACAACUUUCAAAUACAUAUUUUCAGGAAACUUAAAGCUUAAUGCAUGGUAUAUUCAGAGAAGUGAGAAACUCUUGCUUGGUGGUUCAAUAGGAAAGAAGAAAAAAAAA